AGCUCCUGUCUCCUCUCCCCAUGCCAACCACGCUUAAACAUACUCUGUGUUUGUUGGAGGACAAGUUGAUUCUAGCUGUAUGUCUGAGCUACAGCCCUCAUCCUUGUGUGUUUCCAACAGAGGAGCAAAAGCAUGGAGAGAGAUGAAAAUGGGGAGCUGAGUUGAUCCAUUACCUUCCAAGGAGUGUUACUUAUGGCCUGAAAAGCCCCAUGGAGAACCAGAAGCUCCUUUGGAGGAUCAGGAACUGUGGGGAGAGCAAAAGAGAGACUCGAUUUGAAAAAGUAAUCCUUCAGAAAGGUAAUCCUCUGGAAAGGUAAUCCUCUAUUUCUUUAUGGGUGUCAUUUACAUAGGCACUGUCUCACGAGCCUGCUGUCCUUUGGGCACUGUCCUCAUGCUCCAAUUUGGUGUUAGCAGGGCUUACAACAAACCGAGCCAGAAGUCAGCUUUUUUCCCCAUCAUGAUCUGUUUACUGAUGUUAUCUCUUUCUUCUAGCUAUAGUAUCUCAGUUUCUGCUCCAGACUGUCUUUGCUGUGGCACAUGCCCGACCUGGGAGCUGGUGAGCACUGCCUCUCAGAUCUCGGGGCAAAGGUCAGUAGCUGCAUAGUGGCCUCUGGAUUCUUCAGAUACUGACCCUCAUCAUGUGGGGAGGCAUUAACCUUUGGCCCUGAGGUGAAAGCAACACAGGCUUGGAGAUGAGGGUCCCAUAGUGGCCUGUCCCCGUUGGUGACUGCACUUCCAGCUUCGAGUCUCUACUGGGGAAGCUCUUCCUUUGAAGUACAUCUCACUUGGACAGGAGCCAACGUCACGAGGAGGAAACUAAUAGCUUGUAAAGAGAACCCCACAGGAUAUCAGAGGAAAUUUCUAGACCUGCUGGGAUCAGAAUUGGUGCAUAUCCACCUCAGUGGCUUUCCCCAGGCAGUCAGAAAGGCAAAGACAGGCUGCAACCAGGCCUGAAUGGACCCAUUCUUCUCAGCCAACCGCUAACACUUAAGGAUUUAUGAAAAAUUUCCUUGGCAUUAUGUGCUUGGUGGUAAGCUUGCUCUGAUGUGCUCGCA